rnacentral:rRNA from 1 species
AUUGAACGCUGGCGGCAGGCUUAACACAUGCAAGUCGAACGGAGUGGCGUACGGGAGAGUAAUGUAUAGCUAAUAUGCCCUACACUAGAGGUCAACAGUUUGUAACGACUGCUAUUACUCUAUAGUGUAGGUGGAGGCUAUAUUGUAUCAGCUAGUUGGUGAGGUAAUGGCUCACCAAGGCUAUGACGCAUAACUGGUCUGAGAGGAUGAUGAGUCACACUGGAACUGAGACACGGUCCAGACUCCUACGGGAGGCAGCAGUAGGGAGUAGUGCUCAAUGGGGGAAUCCCUGAAGCAGCAACGCCGCGUGGAGGAUGACACUUUUCGGAACGUAAACUCCUUUUGUUAGGGAAGCGGUACCUAACGAAUAAGCACCGGCUAACUCCGUGCCAGCAGCCGCGGUAAUAC